UACGUAGGGUGCGAGCGUUAUUCGGAAUUAUUGGGCGUAAAGGGCGCGUAGGCGGCUUUGCAAGUGACGGGUGAAAUCCCUCGGCUUAACCGAGGAACUGCCUGUCAAACUGCAUGGCUUGAGACCAGGAGAGGUGAGUGGAAUUCCCAGUGUAGCGGUGAAAUGCGUAGAUAUUGGGAGGAACACCAGUGGCGAAGGCGGCUCACUGGACUGGUACUGACGCUGAUGCGCGAAAGCGUGGGGAGCAAACAGG
rnacentral:rRNA from 1 species